rnacentral:rRNA from 1 species
UACGGAGGGUGCAAGCGUUAAUCGGAAUCACUGGGCGUAAAGCGCACGUAGGCGGCUUGGUAAGUCAGGGGUGAAAUCCCACAGCCCAACUGUGGAACUGCCUUUGAUACUGUCAGGCUUGAGUACCGGAGAGGGUGGCGGAAUUCCAGGUGUAGGAGUGAAAUCCGUAGAUAUCUGGAGGAACACCGGUGGCGAAGGCGGCCACCUGGACGGUAACUGACGCUGAGGUGCGAAAGCGUGGGUAGCAAACAGG